AGAGUUUGAUCCUGGCUCAGAACGAACGCUGGCGGCAGGCCUCAAACAUGCAAGUCUAGGGGGUGUAGCAAUACAUCACCGGCGGACGGGUGCGUAACGCGUGGGAAUGUACCUAUUGGUUCGGAACAACUGAGGGAAACUUCAGCUAAUACCGAAUGUGCUUACGGGGAAAGAUUUAUCGCCAAUGGAUCAGCCCGCGU
rnacentral:rRNA from 1 species